AGACGCAGGUGCAGCUGAGCCUCCGAGGUGCUCUGCACAGCAAGGGAGUGGGCUGCUCUCCAGGGAGCACUGAGCCAAGGCAAUGAGGCAGACAAAGUGAGCACAGAGAGCACAGGCACUUGGUGGAGGACUGACGAGUGGCACACGGUGGGACACAGGAGGCACUCGCUCCCUGCCCUACUUGAAAUAAAGUGGUCUAGGACUGAUUUGCACAAAACUUUGUCUUAUGCCCAUGAAAAUGUUGAGACAGGUGGCAAAGACAGGUCACAGAUGGAUGAGUUUGAAAUGUUACAUAGAUGGAAGAAACCAGCAGUGCAGAGAGUCUCAAGAGGAAGAGAUGUCCCCCAUAGAGGCAGCUGUUUCUCUACCAUGAAAGUGAGUUGUGUGAUGUGGGAUUUGGAUGGGGCACCCAACCUGCCAACAGCCAUCUGGGCAGUGGCUUAAGAUAUGGCCGUGAAAAGAUGACAUGGAGAGGCACUAAGGCUGGAGCCUACAGUGUAAAGGGAAACAUGCCAUGGAUGAAAUCCUGCUGCUUAAGAAGCAUUAGCAGACACUCAGUUAUCAUCAGGGGACUUUAGCUUUUGUGGCAUCCAAGAUAGUUGCAGCUGUGCAUUCAGAUGGUGGCUGGACAGGAGCAAUAAGGAAACCACAUCCAAGGGGCAGAGGAAGCCCCAGGGACAUCAGAGGUGCCCAUCCUCGACCUGUCCUGCUGAGAAAGAGCAAGCCAGCUCUACCCUUUGGCCAAAAUCAGAAAUAGGUAGAAAUAAGUGACAGUGCUCUGUGGAUAUCUGUUCCUUAGGUUCUACUUUAGGUAGUAUGGUUGGGUUUUGAUGGAAUUUGUUUCUCGUGCUUGUGGAUGUGUAAUGUUAGGCAGAG
rnacentral:lncRNA from 1 species